GUUGCUGCUGGGUUGGGACAAUGAUGCUGAGGAUGUGGGGGACAAGCAUGACGCAGAAGGAGAGCACCAGCAUUGAUAUCGAGUUGGCCAAGCAACAGCACAAGUCCGGCCUGCAGGAGCCCAAAUACAGAACCAUCCUUUCCCUCCCCUGAUCCCUAGCUCCUCCCACUGGACGACCGGCCUCAAAAUCCCUAGCUCCUCCCACUGGACCUCCGGCCUCAAAGGGUCAGCAUCGUUACACAAGUCUGUUCUGCAAUAAAUCCUCAGCAUGUCAAGUUUUCGCGCGCUGUUAUGAACAAACAAAAUGUCCGUGUCUAGAUUUCCCCAAGCAUGCCCGAGUAGUUUUGUUUAGCUCUAGUGCCCGAGUGGGAUGAGUGUUACAGAAGCGAGACUUGAUAGCAGUACUUAUGGUAACGCUAACAGUUAACUCUAACAGUUAGUUCUUGCUGUGGACAUCACGAAGAAUUAAACGUUGAAUAAUUUGUUUCAUUCUUUAUAAGACAGCUAUAUAUUCAGCGAGGAACGAGAGCAAAUCAAGGAACAAUCGAAACAAUUCAUUCAGAAGUGUAUCUGCUGUAGAUAGUUAGGACAGUAGAAGCAUUAUGGACUGUCCUCAGCGCACAAUAUAUUCAUGUGGUGCGCCUCAGAUGUGAAUUCCGCCCAUUAUUGAAAACAAGUUGCUUAAAGUAAACACGUCCGGUUUUGUUACAUGCACUUUGCACUCCGAGCCCAAAGGGCAUCGCAUUGAAUUGAGACUAAAGAAGGCUUAAAAAGAGGACACCAGUUUUGUUGUAUGGUCCAGUACGCCCUUCGACUCUCAACCCGAAGUUAAUCAGAACUCAAACUUGGCCCUUAACAAUAUCUGCGAGGCCAGCAUAUCAGCUCAGCUUCUGAGCUUCAGCAAACACUAUAAGCCGCCAAGAUAAAAACAUCGUUGAAGUUAAAGUUGAUGACAAUCCUGACCCCUUCGCUUAAAUAAUUCAGCACAAAAACGUCUUGCGUCAGAGUAGCAAGCCUCAAAACAUCUUCUCCCAUGUUGGCUACUUCAACACUUCUUACAGCGGAGCCUUGGGGAGUUUGACUUCCAUCCCAGCAUCGAUGUUGCUUAGCAACAAUCUAAUGCUGUAAAUCGACAAAUUGUUCCAGACGAGUCGCUUACACAGAAACUACUUGAUCCAACAGAUAGAGCAGGUGUUGCGUGACUUGUUCCUUAUUGCGACUGACCUCGAUAAGUUGCUCUCGAAUAAUUUGAACUUUAUGCCAGUAUGGAAUUGACACCAUUUAACAGCAGUUGUUGUUGAGAAUUCCCGGGUUUGAGGUGGCAACUUUGGCGUCGGGACUCGCUCCAUCUCUGUCUAUGGCCCGGUCAAAGCAGCAGCAGCAGCAGCAAUAAGAACAACAAGUAGUAUCUGAGCGGUGCUCUGGGAUACGGGGCUUCAUAGCUAGUUCCUAGCAAUCAUAGAUCGGUACCCUGCUGAAAAACAGGAUCUCUGGUCAGCUGGGCCCAGAUGCCCAGCAACACUUCCUGGCCCAGGACCUUGGGGCAAAUGCUCAACAUGUCCUAGCUGCAUGGUGAAGCCAGUCUAAUUCUUGGGCUCCAAACUCUCCUGAUGUGGCGCCAAGUUUACCUCAUCCAUAAGGGACACAGUUCUGGAAUGCGCUAAGGUCCUUUUAUCUGUUCACAGAGGCCUUAUACUCACAAGUUCAGGCCCAGAGAACGGUGUUCCCCAACUACAACACAACGUCUCAAUAGGUCAAGGGUCACCCCGCAAUGUUUAGUGCCUAGCGAUGAAAUCAUCCACCGUUACAUGUAGUUGGUUCAGGGUCUCCCAAAACCACCCAGUGCCUUGCGAUGAAAACCUCCAACGGGACUGUGACCUUGCCUUGUACAUACCUAAUGGUCAGGUUGAUGAUCACUUGGGCUUAGAUAGUCACUGCAGUAAGAACGUGUAAGAUUUUAAAGAAGAUGACUUCACAAUAGGACAUCCGAGACUGCAAUGACGAAAUGAGUGUCCUCACUUCAGCAGUGGAAGCCAAUACACAAUACGAGAGUUUCCAGCGGCUUACCUUAUCUGAAAACCUGGGUAGCAGAGCAAUGAGUAUAUCUCAGGAGCAUUUGCAGUCACAGCAAGUGAACCAGCGGCAGUCAUCGUCUCUAGAUUCCGAGAUCCCCAUGCUUCACAACCCUCAGUCUAUGAACAUCAUGCAUAGCAAACCUUGGACGUCCAUUGACGAAAUCAAACCGGCAAAUCAGAAGGACAGCCUGUUGCUACAGUUGUCAUCAUAUUAACCCCAGUCAUACCGAAGAAGCUCAGAGAUAUAAAUGCUGUUUAAGAUGUGCUAGUUUCUGCAUACUCCAUGUCUGGUGUGAACAUGUACAAAUGAAAGUCUCUACAUACCCCAUGUCUGAUGUGAACAUGUACAAAUGAAAGUCUCUACAUACCCAAUGUCUGAUGUGAACAUGUACAAUUGAAGGUCUCUACAUACCCCAUGUCUGAUGUGAACAUGUACAAUUGAAGGUCUCUGCAUACUCCAUGUCUGGUGUGAACAUGUACAAUUGAAAGUCUCUACAUACUCCAUGUUUGAUGUGAACAUGUACAAUUGAAGGUCUCUACAUACCCCAUGUCUGGUGUGAACAUGUACAAUUGAAGGUCUCUACAUACCCCAUGUCUGAUGUGAACAUGUACAAUUGAAGGUCUCUACAUACCCCAUGUCUGAUGUGAACAUGUACAAUUGAAGGUAUCUACAUACCCGAUGUCUGAUGUGAACAUGUACAAUUGAAGGUCUCUACAUACCCCAUGUCUGGUGUGAACAUGUACAAUUGAAGGUCUCUACAUACCCCAUGUCUGAUGUGAACAUGUACAAUUGAAGGUCUCUACAUACCCCAUGUCUGGUGUGAACAUGUACAAUUGAAGGUCUCUACAUACCCCAUGUCUGAUGUGAACAUGUACAAUUGAAGGUCUCUACAUACCCCAUGUCUGAUGUGAACAUGUACAAUUGAAGGUCUCUACAUACCCCAUGUCUGGUGUGAACAUGUACAAUUGAAGGUCUCUACAUACCCCACGUCUUGUGUGAACAUGUACAAUUGAAGGUCUCAUCUUUGAAUUUGGGACAGGUGGAAAAUUAGUGACUUGAUUCAGACAAAAAUCGCAUAAUGACAAAUCCCAACAAAAAGUGGAAAGCCAGAAAGUCUUGUGGCCAGCCAUGUAUUUAUGUGACCAUCCCAGUUGUGUUCAAGGAAAAACAAAGGUCAUGUUUUAUUGGAACUAUUAUGUUGUCAGUCAUUUUAUGUUGAAGGCUUUUAUUAACUAUAUUUAAAUUUAAUAAGAUUAAGAUUACUUGAUAAAAGCAAUAAUGUAAGAUAUUAUUUUUAAGCGCAAAAUUAGCUUUGUACUUUGUCUGUUUUGUGAAAUUUUAUUUUGGAAAUGUUAAGGAAAAUAUAAUGCUAGUAAAUAUAUGUCUAUGCAUGUUGAAUUUAACAUUUGUCAAACUGUUUUAAUGAUGCUGGUAACUUUGACAAAAUUGAAAAAAAUGUAUUGUUUUCAUGUAAUGACACAUGUUUUUUUUUGCUAAACCUGUACUAUAGAGGUCAUAGUUACAAGAAUUGUUCAGACAGGUGGAGAAUGUUUAUGCUAUGGCUUUGAUACUCUUCAGUGUGCCCAUUGGUGUUAGUGUUUUUAUCAAUAAUGUUGUUUAUUGUCUUACUAUUUCUUGAAAAUAUUGAUUAAUUUCAGACAAAAACAUUUAAUCUUCCUUAAAUUGUCUAUUCUGUAUUUACUACCAGUUAUUUAAUUAUUUGCUUGAACAUGAUUUAAAAAUGACUUUUUUUUUACUUAAAAUGCUUUACAUGUUUUGAAACUGAGUGUUUAAAAACGAAAAUAUGAGAUGUGGGGAUAAUGGCAAAGUUAUGAUCUGAUUAUUUUUUGUUUUUGUAAGGUUUAUUAUGCUUUAUAUGUUUGUGUAUAGACGAGAUUAACUUGGCCAAGAAAUCUUCAUCACUGUAUAUAUUGGUCAGUACAUUUGUCAUUUGUAUUUGUAUAUAGAGCGAUAGCGAAAUGGUUGUAUUUACAAUGUAAAUCAUGCGUUUAUUGUUGCCAUUUUGACUUUCGCUGUAAACAUUCAUUUGUACAAACAAUUUUCAUCAUAUACAUCUUUUAGAUGCCAGAUAAUAUAAACAAACAUUGCUUGUGGCGAUGCUCAUUUGACACUUUCUAAAUGAUACAGAACAACACAUUCUGAAGAGGCAAAUAUCCUUUAGACAAUAGGAACAUCUUGUUACUAGUAUAUGUAAUGCUUUUCACUAAAUAAAGUCAAGCAACUAUUGAAA